rnacentral:rRNA from 1 species
CCUACGGGAGGCAGCAGUGAGGAAUAUUGGUCAAUGGGCGGAAGCCUGAACCAGCCAAGUAGCGUGCAGGAUGACGGCCCUACGGGUUGUAAACUGCUUUUAUACGGGAAUAACGCGCCUUACGUGUAGGGCUUUGCAUGUACCGUAUGAAUAAGGACCGGCUAAUUCCGUGCCAGCAGCCGCGGUAAUACGGAAGGUCCGGGCGUUAUCCGGAUUUAUUGGGUUUAAAGGGUGCGUAGGCGGAAGGUUAAGUCAGUGGUCAAAUGUCGGUGCUCAACACCGGCCUGCCGUUGAAACUGGUCUUCUUGAGUGAGCGAGAAGUAUGCGGAAUGCGUGGUGUAGCGGUGAAAUGCAUAGAUAUCACGCAGAACUCCGAUUGCGAAGGCAGCAUACCGGCGCUCAACUGACGCUGAGGCACGAAAGCGUGGGGAUCGAACAGGAUUAGAUACCCUUGUAGUC